UACUCGGAUAACUGUGGCAAUUCUAGAGCUAAUACGCGCAAGAAGGCUCGGACCUUACGGGACGAGCGCAUUUAUUAGACCAAAACCAAUCGGGCUUCGGCCUGUGCUUUGGUGACUCUGAAUAACUAAGCCGAUCGCACGGUCUUAGUACCGGCGACGCAUCUUUCAAGUGUCUGCCUUAUCAACUUUCGAUGGUAGUUUAUGUGCCUACCAUGGUUGUAACGGGUAACGGAGAAUAAGGGUUCGACUCCGGAGAGGGAGCCUGAGAAACGGCUACCACAUCCAAGGAAGGCAGCAGGCGCGCAAAUUACCCACUCUCGGCACGAGGAGGUAGUGACGAAAAAAUACCGGCCCUAUAAUGUCUGGGGNCCGCCAUCGGAAUGGGA
rnacentral:rRNA from 1 species